rnacentral:lncRNA from 1 species
GUGGCAGGCAAGUUAAUCUUCAGUGGAAUAUGCAAAUAGGAUUUCUGAAUUUGGCAUGCAAAUGAAUUUGAGAGCUUCUGGGAGCAUCUCUUCCAAGAUUCUGGUAAGCCUUUCUUCCUGGGCGAAACUUAGCAGAGGAAGGUAUAGAGAAGACCUAAGAAAGACCAAGGAGAAUUUGUGUCACUAAAAUUUGAAGCUUUGAUUCCGAAAUUUUAUUCAGCCUGAGUUGGUCAUUUGACUUUUACUGCUAUCAACUUGGGAGUUAAGUCUUAAAGAAGAGGAACAGUGCUGUUUAUUAAAAGGAUCAGACAAGGAGUAAAUGUGGAAUGAUCACU